GGAGACUCCAACAGUGGGAGAAAACAAUAUGCCCGACGAUAUGCCUUGGCCUCUGGGAUGCCUCAGGGAAAGCUGGAGGAUAUUACUUUUGGGACCGGAGACUUAGAAGGCGUAUCACUUCCACAUGAUGACGCCUUGGUAAUCUCAGCGAUUGUGGCAAAUUUUGAAAUAAAGAGGAUCUUGGUUGACAACGGGAGUGCGGCCAAUAUACUUUCACAAGAAGCUUUUGCCAAAAU
rnacentral:lncRNA from 1 species